GGUGCAAAUUGAAGAAUUGGCAACUUUUGGGGUGAAAACUGCAAAUUCAGAGAAAAAGUGGGCCAAAAGUGAAAAAAUCAGAAAUCUGGAGAAUCAAAGACCGCACGGCCGUGCGGAUUUUAGUUCAAAAUCUCACACGGCCGUCCGGAUGGGCGUGAUGGCGCAGUGAAGGAAUUUUAAUUACACAAGGAAACCCGCCCUAUUAUAGUUUUGCACCCUAUUUAAAGGCCACAAGCACACAAUUAGACGGAUCUU
rnacentral:lncRNA from 1 species